GAUUCUCGACAAAGUUUACAAAGCGGACAUAGUUAAAUAUUUACAAAGGUUUAUAAUUUACAGACUCUCACAGCAAAAUAUUUGUCCAAAAUAUACAUCUAACCUCAAAAAGCUAGCGUAUGAGAUAUAAAUACAAAAAAAAAAAACAACGACAUCCGAACGAGUCCUCACCAGCACCAAACCGAUCUCCCUCCUUCUCGCUUAUCAUGCACGUUUAGAAAUACAUGCAGGGCUGAGUACAGAGUACCCAGUGGACAUAUGCCGAAAAACAAAUAAAAGCCUGCGCUUAGAGCUAUAAAUUGAACUUGCCACAUUAUGCAACACACAUGGGUUAUAGUUAGAAAAGAACCUGUGCAUGCAAUGUCGCAAAUCAUAACAUCAUAAUUAAGUAACUGCGCAGUUUAAGCAUUUAUCAUGUAUGUACCACAUCCACUACUCAUCAUCAAAGGUACUGAGAAGUAGGCCUCCCUCUCAAGUACCGUGACCGGCCGACCCGAUAGACGGCUCACAGUCACCUCUAUGCACAAAAUCCCACUUGUGGCAGGACUGAAUUCGUCUCAUCUCAUUAGUAGAGGGUAAUAUACAAGCUCAUUAUCAUAAAAAUUGGCAAGUCAAUUAGUUGAAACAUAAAGUUAACUCAAGUCAUAAUCAUAAGUAUCAUAUCAUUUAAGAAAACUCGUAUAAUAGGUAUAUCAAAAUAAUACCCACCUGACAAACUUAGCUUACUCUCGUAGUACUUGGGUGAUCUUACUUCCGUCCUCUGCUCGUAU
rnacentral:lncRNA from 1 species